CCAGACUCCUACGGGAGGCAGCAGUGGGGAAUAUUGCACAAUGGGGGAAACCCUGAUGCAGCGACGCCGCGUGAGCGAUGAAGUAUUUCGGUAUGUAAAGCCCUAUCGGCAGGGAAGAAAUUGGACGGUACCUGACUAAGAAGCCCCGGCUAACUACGUGCCAGCAGCCGCGGUAAUACGUAGGGGGCAAGCGUUAUCCGGAUUCACUGGGUGUAAAGGGAGCGUAGACGGCCAUGCAAGCCUGGAGUGAAAGCCCGGGGCCCAACCCCGGGACUGCUCUGGGAACUGUGCGGCUGGAGUGCGGGAGGGGCAGGCGGAAUUCCUGGUGUAGCGGUGAAAUGCGUAGAUAUCAGGAGGAACACCGGCGGCGAAGGCGGCCUGCUGGACCGCGACUGACGUUGAGGCUCGAAAGCGUGGGGAGCAAACAGGAUUAGAUACCCUUGUA
rnacentral:rRNA from 1 species